CUGACAAAAAAGCACUGCUUCAUUCUCCAUCUUUUUUCUCCUUAUGUGCUCGUUUUGCUGGUGGGUUUCCACAGCCCCUGGGCCCCAGGAUUCAUACCAAGGAGUCACUAUCGAGCUUCUGAAGCAGAACACAAGCAGCCAGAAAGGCAGUAAGCACUGAGGCAAUCUGCAUUUAUGGCCAGCAGAACGUGCUCUCAAAAUAAAGCCAGUGUGGCAAAAUA